GGAUCCCUGCCGUACGCGAGCGCGCCAGUAGUUCCGAGCCAACACUGCAUAAACGGGAGCCCGGACGCUGGACGCGGAUGACAGCCCCGGGGACCGGGCGACGGGCACGGUUCUCGCAGGGAGUGUCAGAAACGGCCGGGAGGGCACCCACCUGUCGAGGACAGGUUCGGGAACUCCGGCGCCUUCGGUACGGCGGGGAUUUG
rnacentral:other from 1 species